rnacentral:rRNA from 1 species
GCAGUCGAGCGGACAGAUGGGAGCUUGCUCCCUGAUGUUAGCGGCGGACGGGUGAGUAACACGUGGGUAACCUGCCUGUAAGACUGGGAUAACUCCGGGAAACCGGGGCUAAUACCGGAUGCUUGAUUGAACCGCAUGGUUCAAUUAUAAAAGGUGGCUUUUAGCUACCACUUACAGAUGGACCCGCGGCGCAUUAGCUAGUUGGUGAGGUAACGGCUCACCAAGGCRACGAUGCGUAGCCRACCUGAGAGGGUGAUCGGCCACACUGGGACUGAGACACGGCCCARACUCCUACGGGAGGCAGCAGUAGGGAAUCUUCCGCAAUGGACGAAAGUCUGACGGAGCAACGCCGCGUGAGUGAUGAAGGUUUUCGGAUCGUAAAACUCUGUUGUUAGGGAAGAACAAGUACCGUUCGAAUAGGGCGGUACCUUGACGGUACCUAACCAGAAAGCCACGGCUAACUACGUGCCAGCAGCCGCGGUAAUACGUAGGUGGCAAGCGUUGUCCGGAAUUAUUGGGCGUAAAGCGCGCGCAGGCGGUUUCUUAAGUCUGAUGUGAAAGCCCCCGGCUCAACCGGGGAGGGUCAUUGGAAACUGGGGAACUUGAGUGCAGAAGAGGAGAGUGGAAUUCCACGUGUAGCGGUGAAAUGCGUAGAGAUGUGGAGGAACACCAGUGGCGAAGGCGACUCUCUGGUCUGUAACUGACG